AUGGGCGCCAUUUUUAGUCCGGUAUCCAGCUCUUAUAAUACAUCCAUGGACAACACACAGCUGCUGCUGAGAGAAACGUGUAGAGAGAAAUCUUAAGAGUUUCAUGAGCACCAGGAGUUUCUCAAGACAUUUUGGAUUUAAUUUCCUUUUUAUUGUUUUGUUGAUUGCGAGGUCGAAGGAUUAUUUUGAUGUUGGUGUACCUGCUUUUGGAUUUAAUCCGUGAAUCGGUUGUUUUUUUGAGUCUGAGGUUGUUUCUGAGGAGGAGGUCUGGUUUUGCGAGUCAGGAUCCAUACUAGGAGCAGAGAGUAUCCAGCCUGCUUUCUCAACACACCUGUAAUGACUACAACCUUACUCCUGGACCGAUAAGCAUAUGAGAUCUCAACAUACACUCUUCCCAGGUGAUCCAUUGUUUGCAUAGGUCCUGACCUACAUAGGACAAGACCUCUUCUAAUUGUGUUCAGAGGAUAGACCCAUUGUCUUGUCCUGCUGGAGGUUCUCUGCUGGAGGAGUGAAAUAGCAGCCACUUUUCUUUUCCUCAACUGCUGCUGUCUGCAAAAGGCUCCUAUUUCAAGACAUCAACAACAAGGACAAAGUCGUCUUUUCAACAAUAUAAUAACACCUCUACAGACACAACUACAAAUCAGCAAGGUCUCAGCACUGAUGUUCAUUUCUUUGGUUGGGCCUCCUUUGGACCAGUGGGAUCCAGAAAAAUGUGUCAGGAAAUGGGUGCGUAAAAGAAGGUCAGCUGAUCACAUAACCUGUUGACAACCACUUGGCGACAGUGGCAAUGAAAAACUCCCCUUUAACAGGAAGAAAGAACAGAGCAGAACCAGGCUCUAGACUUGACGUGAUGACGGUGAACACAUGACAGUACAUAUGACUGAAGUCUGCGAGGGCUCAGUCCGCAGGUCCAGAGGGUGGACAUUUGAAUUCAGCCCAAGAGUCAUCAGCCUUCAGCCACACCUUUUCCACCAGGAAAGGAUGCCCCCCAACAACCAUGGUAACUCAAGACAAAGAAACAAAUGAUUAAUAUAACAGAAAAUUGCCUGUGUAACCCAAUUUGUACACUCCAUAUAAAACAAUGUAAGGUUAAAAGGGAAUAAACAGAUUCUAAGUCAAACUAACUGUGGUGUGGUGACUGCAAAUGAAAUAAACUUGUGUAGGAAAGCAAACUAAUGAGGUGGGUUGGGUUAUUUUUAAUUGGGUUAAUAUUACCAUGUGUGGCUGUGGCCAUCACAGUUGUAAUGGCUUCCAGAUAAAAUAACACUUCAUCACACUUUCUUGCAUUAGAUGCAGACUAAUUGGCUUGUUUAUCCGUUAAGGAGAUACAGGACAAUAAACAUUCUAUCAUCACGUCAUCCCUCAUUACUUUUACUUGCUGAAGCUCACCUGAAAAAGGCCUGUAACCUGAAACAUUUAUUAAGCUCAAUCUUAAGAGGCAGUGCACACUCUCUCUCUGACCGUUUGCCAGCUACAUUGAUAUACUGUGCAUUUUACAUUUGCAUUCAUCAACUAACCCAUUUGAAAUGGAAUCUUGUGUUGUGUCAAUAGAUUUUAGAUUUUAAAUUCAAUAUGUGUUCCCAGGGACUUGGACAAAGGUUUUUCUGCAACAAGCAAUUUCAUCCAUCUCCAGAUUAUGUAUUGAGACAAUCUCAUGUAUUAACUCAAGCAUGAAUGGUGACUGCUGCCUUGCUCAGAAAGAGGAAGCUGUAUCUCAGUGAGUAUGCAGAGUACACUGACUACACAGUGAAACAUCUGUAAAUGGUGCAAAUGGCAGCAGCCUGUCAGGUCUUCAGCCAGCCAAAAAUGAGCUUGUCACUCCACUUUUCAUGACUCAAUAAUGCUCGCCAACAGCAGCCACUAGCACAACACUCACCUACCUGAACUCCCUCAUUCAGGUUUAUGCGCCUUCACAUUCACUCCAAUCUGCAAACCAAUGAUGACUAGUCCUACUGUCACUGCAAGGCAGGAAAUCUCCAUCCAAACUCUUCUCCUGUAUGGUCGCUCGGAGAUGGAAUGAGUUGCCCAACUUGACUCAGUCAGUGGAAUUUCUUUCUAUCUUCAAAAAUCACUUGGAGACCUACCUCUUACAAAGGUACUUACUCACCUAAUAUGCUUUUUAUCUAUCUUUAGAUCCUUAUCUAGCUCUCUCUCUCAAAAAAAACCCCCCACCAAAACCAAACCAAAAGAAGUCCACUUAUAUGUUACUUCAUGCACCUGCAAGCCUUGUGGCACUUGUGUCAGGUGAAACGUAGAACUGAAUGCUCAGGCACUUAUUCUCAGAUCUACUGUGUACCUCAUUUAAUCUCAACAAGACUUUUACCUGGUUAAAUAAAGGAUAGAAGUAGGUGUCUGCCAAAUGAAUAAAUGUAAAUGUAAUGAGUUUAUCUUCUCUAUUAUCACAAAGAGCACACAAGGAAAUAAAGCAGUAUUAAUCGAGAUUGCAACUGGUCCUCAUAUUAAAUGAAUAAUGAGGAACAGGUAGAAACAGCAUGAAAACAAGGUGUACUAUACCGUGAUAUUACAGGAAGGUAGUUACUGUGUGGUCACUACUGUCUGUUUCACUUACUUUUUUAAUAAGGAACUGCUAAAACAGAAAGCUGGACACUAGUUUAACACAAGUUUUGUUCAUUUUCUGAUGGAUCUGGGAAAAUACCUGCACACACAUGCUGUUGCGCAUACAGUAUGUGUUACCAUGGUUACUGGAUGAUCUUCAUCACAUUACCUAAUUGUGGAACGUGAUUAGAAGUGGUCAUAAAUGGGGGAAAUUAAAACCCUGC